AGCAAGCACCGGCUAACUACGUGCCAGCAGCCGCGGUAAUACGUAGGGUGCGAGCGUUAAUCGGAAUUACUGGGCGUAAAGCGUGCGCAGGCGGUUUUGUAAGUCAGAUGUGAAAUCCCCGGGCUUAACCUGGGAACUGCGUUUGAAACUGCAAGGCUAGAGUGUGGCAGAGGGGGGUGGAAUUCCGCGUGUAGCAGUGAAAUGCGUAGAGAUGUGGAGGAACACCAAUGGCGAAGGCAGCCCCCUGGGUCAACACUGACGCUCAGGCACGAAAGCAUGGGGAGCAAACAGGAUUAGAUACCCUGGUAGUCCAUGCCCUAAACGAUGUCAACUAGUUGUCGGGUCUUAACGGGCUUGGUAACGUAGCUAACGCGUGAAGUUGACCGCCUGGGGAGUACGAUCGCAAGAUUAAAACUCAAAGGAAUUGACGGGGACCCGCACAAGCGGUGGAUUAUGUGGAUUAAUUCGAUGCAACGCGAAAAACCUUACCUACCCUUGACAUGUAUUGAAACCCGCAGAGAUGUGGGCGUGCCCGAAAGGGAACGAUAACACAGGUGCUGCAUGGCUGUCGUCAGCUCGUGUCGUGAGAUGUGGUUAAGUCCAGCAACGAGCGCAACCCUUGUCAUUAUUGCCAUCAUUUAUUGGGCACUUUAAUGAGACUGCCGUGACAAACCGGAGGAAGGUGGGGAUGACUCAGUCCUCAUGGCCUUAUGGUAGGGCUUCACACGAAUACAAUGGCGCGACAGAGGGUGCACCCGCAGGGGAGCUAUCUC
rnacentral:rRNA from 1 species